UGGCUUUGAACCACAGUCCUCUGAUCUCAGCCUCCUGUGUAGCUAGGAUUACAGGUGUGAGCCACCAGUGCCUUUUGAGAGGUCAUUCUUUUGUUGGGACCAAGCAAGACAGACCUCUCUGUGAAGCCACAGCAGAGUUCCAGAGUGUCAAUGGAGUGUAGGUUAUGGUACAGGAUAUUGGAACAAUUGAUAAAGGACUAGACAUACAAUGAGGAGCAGAGGCAGCAACUGAUGCCUGCUUAUAUAGGAGCAGUUUAAUCAAAUAACAUUAUGAAUAAUGGAAGAGAGAAAUCUGUCAAAGG